GUCUAUGGCCAUACCAGCCUGAACGUGCCUAAUCCCGUCUGAUCUCAGAUGCUAAGCAGGUUUGGGCCUGGUUAGUACUUGGAUGGGAGGAGGGAACCUUCCUCC
rnacentral:rRNA from 1 species